ACUAAGCGUACACGGUGGAUGCCCUGGCAGUCAGAGGCGAUGAAGGACGUGCUAAUCUGCGAUAAGCGUCGGUAAGGUGAUAUGAACCGUUAUAACCGGCGAUUUCCGAAUGGGGAAACCCAGUGUGUUUCGACACACUAUCAUUAACUGAAUCCAUAGGUUAAUGAGGCGAACCGGGGGAACUGAAACAUCUAAGUACCCCGAGGAAAAGAAAUCAACCGAGAUUCCCCCAGUAGCGGCGAGCGAACGGGGAGCAGCCCAGAGCCUGAAUCAGUGUGUGUGUUAGUGGAAGCGUCUGGAAAGGCGCGCGAUACAGGGUGACAGCCCCGUACACAAAAAUGCACAUGCUGUGAGCUCGAUGAGUAGGGCGGGACACGUGGUAUCCUGUCUGAAUAUGGGGGGACCAUCCUCCAAGGCUAAAUACUCCUGACUGACCGAUAGUGAACCAGUACCGUGAGGGAAAGGCGAAAAGAACCCCGGCGAGGGGAGUGAAAAAGAACCUGAAACCGUGUACGUACAAGCAGUGGGAGCACGCUUAGGCGUGUGACUGCGUACCUUUUGUAUAAUGGGUCAGCGACUUAUAUUCUGUAGCAAGGUUAACCGAAUAGGGGAGCCGAAGGGAAACCGAGUCUUAACUGGGCGUUAAGUUGCAGGGUAUAGACCCGAAACCCGGUGAUCUAGCCAUGGGCAGGUUGAAGGUUGGGUAACACUAACUGGAGGACCGAACCGACUAAUGUUGAAAAAUUAGCGGAUGACUUGUGGCUGGGGGUGAAAGGCCAAUCAAACCGGGAGAUAGCUGGUUCUCCCCGAAAGCUAUUUAGGUAGCGCCUCGUGAAUUCAUCUCCGGGGGUAGAGCACUGUUUCGGCAAGGGGGUCAUCCCGACUUACCAACCCGAUGCAAACUGCGAAUACCGGAGAAUGUUAUCACGGGAGACACACGGCGGGUGCUAACGUCCGUCGUGAAGAGGGAAACAACCCAGACCGCCAGCUAAGGUCCCAAAGUCAUGGUUAAGUGGGAAACGAUGUGGGAAGGCCCAGACAGCCAGGAUGUUGGCUUAGAAGCAGCCAUCAUUUAAAGAAAGCGUAAUAGCUCACUGGUCGAGUCGGCCUGCGCGGAAGAUGUAACGGGGCUAAACCAUGCACCGAAGCUGCGGCAGCGACGCUUAUGCGUUGUUGGGUAGGGGAGCGUUCUGUAAGCCUGCGAAGGUGUGCUGUGAGGCAUGCUGGAGGUAUCAGAAGUGCGAAUGCUGACAUAAGUAACGAUAAAGCGGGUGAAAAGCCCGCUCGCCGGAAGACCAAGGGUUCCUGUCCAACGUUAAUCGGGGCAGGGUGAGUCGACCCCUAAGGCGAGGCCGAAAGGCGUAGUCGAUGGGAAACAGGUUAAUAUUCCUGUACUUGGUGUUACUGCGAAGGGGGGACGGAGAAGGCUAUGUUGGCCGGGCGACGGUUGUCCCGGUUUAAGCGUGUAGGCUGGUUUUCCAGGCAAAUCCGGAAAAUCAAGGCUGAGGCGUGAUGACGAGGCACUACGGUGCUGAAGCAACAAAUGCCCUGCUUCCAGGAAAAGCCUCUAAGCAUCAGGUAACAUCAAAUCGUACCCCAAACCGACACAGGUGGUCAGGUAGAGAAUACCAAGGCGCUUGAGAGAACUCGGGUGAAGGAACUAGGCAAAAUGGUGCCGUAACUUCGGGAGAAGGCACGCUGAUAUGUAGGUGAGGUCCCUCGCGGAUGGAGCUGAAAUCAGUCGAAGAUACCAGCUGGCUGCAACUGUUUAUUAAAAACACAGCACUGUGCAAACACGAAAGUGGACGUAUACGGUGUGACGCCUGCCCGGUGCCGGAAGGUUAAUUGAUGGGGUUAGCGCAAGCGAAGCUCUUGAUCGAAGCCCCGGUAAACGGCGGCCGUAACUAUAACGGUCCUAAGGUAGCGAAAUUCCUUGUCGGGUAAGUUCCGACCUGCACGAAUGGCGUAAUGAUGGCCAGGCUGUCUCCACCCGAGACUCAGUGAAAUUGAACUCGCUGUGAAGAUGCAGUGUACCCGCGGCAAGACGGAAAGACCCCGUGAACCUUUACUAUAGCUUGACACUGAACAUUGAGCCUUGAUGUGUAGGAUAGGUGGGAGGCUUUGAAGUGUGGACGCCAGUCUGCAUGGAGCCGACCUUGAAAUACCACCCUUUAAUGUUUGAUGUUCUAACGUUGACCCGUAAUCCGGGUUGCGGACAGUGUCUGGUGGGUAGUUUGACUGGGGCGGUCUCCUCCUAAAGAGUAACGGAGGAGCACGAAGGUUGGCUAAUCCUGGUCGGACAUCAGGAGGUUAGUGCAAUGGCAUAAGCCAGCUUGACUGCGAGCGUGACGGCGCGAGCAGGUGCGAAAGCAGGUCAUAGUGAUCCGGUGGUUCUAAAUGGAAGGGCCAUCGCUCAACGGAUAAAAGGUACUCCGGGGAUAACAGGCUGAUACCGCCCAAGAGUUCAUAUCGACGGCGGUGUUUGGCACCUCGAUGUCGGCUCAUCACAUCCUGGGGCUGAAGUAGGUCCCAAGGGUAUGGCUGUUCGCCAUUUAAAGUGGUACGCGAGCUGGGUUUAGAACGUCGUGAGACAGUUCGGUCCCUAUCUGCCGUGGGCGCUGGAGAACUGAGGGGGGCUGCUCCUAGUACGAGAGGACCGGAGUGGACGCAUCACUGGUGUUCGGGUUGUCAUGCCAAUGGCACUGCCCGGUAGCUAAAUGCGGAAGAGAUAAGUGCUGAAAGCAUCUAAGCACGAAACUUGCCCCGAGAUGAGUUCUCCCUGACCCUUUAAGGGUCCUGAAGGAACGUUGAAGACGACGACGUUGAUAGGCCGGGUGUGUAAGCGCAGCGAUGCGUUGAGCUAACCGGUACUAAUGAACCGUGAGGCUUAACC
rnacentral:rRNA from 1 species